rnacentral:rRNA from 1 species
UACGAAGGGUGCAAGCGUUACUCGGAAUUACUGGGCGUAAAGCGUGCGUAGACGGUUAUGUAAGUCAGAUGUGAAAGCCCCGGGCUCAACCUGGGAAUUGCAUUUGAGACUGCAUAGCUAGGGUGCGGAAGAGGGAAGCGGAAUUUCCGGUGUAGCGGUGAAAUGCGUAGAUAUCGGAAGGAACACCAGUGGCGAAAGCGGCUUCCUGGUCCAGCACCGACGUUCAGGCACGAAAGCGUGGGGAGCCAAAGGG